GAUGAACGCUGGCGGCGUGCCUAAUACAUGCAAGUCGAGCGAACGGACGAGAAGCUUGCUUCUCUGAUGUUAGCGGCGGACGGGUGAGUAACACGUGGAUAACCUACCUAUAAGACUGGGAUAACUUCGGGAAACCGGAGCUAAUACCGGAUAAUAUUUUGAACCGCAUGGUUCAAAAGUGAAAGACGGUCUUGCUGUCACUUAUAGAUGGAUCCGCGCUGCAUUAGCUAGUUGGUAAGGUAACGGCUUACCAAGGCAACGAUGCAUAGCCGACCUGAGAGGGUGAUCGGCCACACUGGAACUGAGACACGGUCCAGACUCCUACGGGAGGCAGCAGUAGGGAAUCUUCCGCAAUGGGCGAAAGCCUGACGGAGCAACGCCGCGUGAGUGAUGAAGGUCUUCGGAUCGUAAAACUCUGUUAUUAGGGAAGAACAUAUGUGUAAGUAACUGUGCACAUCUUGACGGUACCUAAUCAGAAAGCCACGGCUAACUACGUGCCAGCAGCCGCGGUAAUACGUAGGUGGCAAGCGUUAUCCGGAAUUAUUGGGCGUAAAGCGCGCGUAGGCGGUUUUUUAAGUCUGAUGUGAAAGCCCACGGCUCAACCGUGGAGGGUCAUUGGAAACUGGAAAACUUGAGUGCAGAAGAGGAAAGUGGAAUUCCACGUGUAGCGGUGAAAUGCGCAGAGAUAUGGAGGAACACCAGUGGCGAAGGCGACUUUCUGGUCUGUAAUUGACGCUGAUGUGCGAAAGCGUGGGGAUCAAACAGGAUUAGAUACCCUGGUAGUCCACGCCGUAAACGAUGAGUGCUAAGUGUUAGGGGGUUUCCGCCCCUUAGUGCUGCAGCUAACGCAUUAAGCACUCCGCCUGGGGAGUACGACCGCAAGGUUGAAACUCAAAGGAAUUGACGGGGACCCGCACAAGCGGUGGAGCAUGUGGUUUAAUUCGAAGCAACGCGAAGAACCUUACCAAAUCUUGACAUCCUUUGACAACUCUAGAGAUAGAGCCUUCCCCUUCGGGGGACAAAGUGACAGGUGGUGCAUGGUUGUCGUCAGCUCGUGUCGUGAGAUGUUGGGUUAAGUCCCGCAACGAGCGCAACCCUUAAGCUUAGUUGCCAUCAUUAAGUUGGGCACUCUAAGUUGACUGCCGGUGACAAACCGGAGGAAGGUGGGGAUGACGUCAAAUCAUCAUGCCCCUUAUGAUUUGGGCUACACACGUGCUACAAUGGACAAUACAAAGGGCAGCGAAACCGCGAGGUCAAGCAAAUCCCAUAAAGUUGUUCUCAGUUCGGAUUGUAGUCUGCAACUCGACUACAUGAAGCUGGAAUCGCUAGUAAUCGUAGAUCAGCAUGCUACGGUGAAUACGUUCCCGGGUCU
rnacentral:rRNA from 1 species